rnacentral:rRNA from 1 species
GGUUAAGCGACUAAGCGUACACGGUGGAUGCCCUGGCAGUCAGAGGCGAUGAAGGACGUGCUAAUCUGCGAUAAGCGUCGGUAAGGUGAUAUGAACCGUUAUAACCGGCGAUUUCCGAAUGGGGAAACCCAGUGUGAUUCGUCACACUAUCAUUACGUGAAUACAUAGCGUAAUGAAGCGAACCGGGGGAACUGAAACAUCUAAGUACCCCGAGGAAAAGAAAUCAACCGAGAUUCCCCCAGUAGCGGCGAGCGAACGGGGAGCAGCCCAGAGUCUGAAUCAGCUUGUGUGUUAGUGGAACGGUCUGGAAAGUCCGACGGUACAGGGUGAUAGUCCCGUACACCAAAAUGCACAGGUUGUGAACUCGAAGAGUAGGGCGGGACACGUGGUAUCCUGUCUGAAUAUGGGGGGACCAUCCUCCAAGGCUAAAUACUCCUGACUGACCGAUAGUGAACCAGUACCGUGAGGGAAAGGCGAAAAGAACCCCGGCGAGGGGAGUGAAAAAGAACCUGAAACCGU